AAGAAAGGGAAGGCAGGAAAGAGAAGGCGGGAAGAAAACCAGCUAACAGAAAAAGAAGGACAGUACCUUGAAAACUACAGUAGUACAGUACAACAGCUGGUAUACAAGGGCUGGCAUCGAGUGAACAGGCAAGAAGGACUGGAGGAGGGAGAAGAGCUGGGAGAUUGGAGAGCUGAAGGACAGUCAGCAAUAGGAGACGGAGGGAAAGCUGCAAUGCCACCCAUGCCUGACACUGAUGGAACACACGCUUACAUCUCUGAAAGUUCUCAACUUGAAGGUCUGUGUGUAGGAGACUUACUGUACUCCCCUGGAAACCAUGGAAGCCCCUCUCUGUGUUUCUCAAAACCAUGAUCACACUCCCACUUUCAGUAUGAGAUAUUUUUUACUCCUGUUAUAGUCUUUGAAUCCUCCUCCAUUCCUAAGUCCCUUCCCCUUUCUCUUCAUGACAAUUUGUUUCCAUUAAAUGUGAUAGUUCAUGU